rnacentral:rRNA from 1 species
UACAGAGACUGCAAGCGUUGUUCGGAUUCAUUGGGCGUAAAGGGUCCGCAGGCGGUCCGGUAAGUCGGACGUGAAAUCCCGUGGCUUAACCACGGAAAGUCGUUCGAAACUGCCGGGCUCGAGGACUGGAGAGGAGGCUGGAAUAGUCGGUGUAGCGGUGAAAUGCGUAGAGAUCGACUAGAACACCAGUAGCGAAGGCGAGCCUCUGGACAGUUCCUGACGCUCAUGGACGAAAGCUAGGGGAG